UAGGGAAUCUUCGGCAAUGGGGGGAACCCUGACCGAGCAACGCCGCGUGAGUGAAGAAGGUUUUCGGAUCGUAAAGCUCUGUUGUUAAGGAAGAACGAGUGUGAGAAUGGAAAGUUCAUACUGUGACGGUACUUAACCAGAAAGGGACGGCUAACUACGAGCCAGCAGCCGCGGUAAUACGUAGGUCCCGAGCGUUGUCCGGAUUUAUUGGGCGUAAAGCGAGCGCAGGCGGUUAGAUAAGUCUGAAGUUAAAGGCAGUGGCUCAACCAUUGUAGGCUUUGGAAACUGUUUAACUUGAGUGCAGAAGGGGAGAGUGGAAUUCCAUGUGUAGCGGUGAAAUGCGUAGAUAUAUGGAGGAACACCGGUGGCGAAAGCGGCUCUCUGGUCUGUAACUGACGCUGAGGCUCGAAAGCGUGGGGAGCGAACAGG
rnacentral:rRNA from 1 species